GAUGAACGCUGGCGGCGUGCCUAAUACAUGCCAGUCGAGCGAACGGACGAGGAGCUUGCUUCUCUGACGUUAGCGGCGGACGGGUGAGUAACACGUGGAUAACCUACCUAUAAGACUGGGAUAACUUCGGGAAACCGGAGCUAAUACCGGAUAAUAUUUUGAACCGCAUGGUUCAAUAGUGAAAGACGGUCCUGCUGUCACUUAUAGAUGGAUCCGCGCUGCAUUAGCUAGUUGGUAAGGUAACGGCUUACCAAGGCAACGAUGCAUAGCCGACCUGAGAGGGUGAUCGGCCACACUGGAACGGAGACACGGUCCAGACUCCUACGGGAGGCAGCAGUAGGGAAUCUUCCGCAAUGGGCGAAAGCCUGACGGAGCAACGCCGCGUGAGUGAUGAAGGUCUUCGGAUCGUAAAACUCUGUUAUUAGGGAAGAACAUAUGUGUAAGUAACUGUGCACAUCUUGACGGUACCUAAUCAGAAAGCCACGGCUAACUACGUG
rnacentral:rRNA from 1 species